CGGAAAUAGCGCAGAGGUAGCGCGUCACCUUGCCAAGGUGGAUGUCGCGGGUUCGAAUCCCGUUUUCCG
rnacentral:tRNA from 1 species